GUUGGGAAUUUACUCGAUGGAAUUUGAGUGCGGGAUGCCCUUUCCAUUGAGUGAAUUCCUGAACUGUGAGGCAACACAGGAUGCGGAUUGGAGCUCUCCCGUACUGACAAUAGAAAGCAGACCUGUCUGUUCCUGAGGUGUGGCUGUGUUGGGAAUUCUGAU